UGGGGAAUAUUGCACAAUGGGCGCAAGCCUGAUGCAGCAACGCCGCGUGAGGGACGACGGCCUUCGGGUUGUAAACCUCUUUUGGCAGGGAAGAAGCGAAAGUGACGGUACCUGCAGAAAAAGCACCGGCUAACUACGUGCCAGCAGCCGCGGUGAUACGUAGGGUGCAAGCGUUGUCCGGAAUUAUUGGGCGUAAAGAGCUCGUAGGCGGUUUGUCGCGUCUGCUGUGAAAACCCGAGGCUCAACCUCGGGCCUGCAGUGGGUACGGGCAAACUAGAGUGCGGUAGGGGAGAUUGGAAUUCCUGGUGUAGCGGUGGAAUGCGCAGAUAUCAGGAGGAACACCGAUGGCGAAGGCAGAUCUCUGGGCCGUAACUGACGCUGAGGAGCGAGAGCAUGGGGAGCGAACA
rnacentral:rRNA from 1 species